GUCAAGUCAUCAUGGCCCUUAUGGGCAGGGCUACACACGUGCUACAAUGGCCGGUACAAAGGGCUGCCAACCCGCGAGGGGGAGCUAAUCCCAAAAAGCCGGUCGUAGUCCGGAUCGGAGUCUGCAACUCGACUCCGUGAAGUCGGAAUCGCUAGUAAUCGCGGAUCAGCAAUGCCGCGGUGAAUACGUUCCCGGGUCUU
rnacentral:rRNA from 1 species